CUGAAAAGUCUUAAAUGUUUUAUUUUCUUUCUCUGUCGGUGUCUCUCAGUCAACUCUUCUUCCUCGAUGUUCAUCAUGAUUCAAGUUUGUUUGGAAGAUCCUUAUUCGAAAUCCAGACCAAAAGAGGAGAUUUUGUGUUUAUCAAAACAAUUCACUCUAUUCUAAGAGCCAAAUCGAUAUACUCGAAAUAAAGAUCGACCAUCACCUGAGGAUAUUUCAAUGGCUUUGGUUGAAAAUUAGUUUUUGUAGACAUGUGGAUGGUAAGGAGAUUCCCUUCAAACCUGCUCGGCUGAUUCUACAGGGCUCAACUGGUGUCCCUGCAGUUGUGUAAAUAGUUUGCAUGAGAGUAGCCACGGAUAAUGUCAAUGUUGAUUCUACUGCGUUCAAUCCCUUGGUUAGUGAACUUCAAGCUAUUCAUACUGAGAUUGAUUGAUAUUAUAUUUGUUUUAAAUUGGGGAUCUGUUUUGUUUCAUGUAUGUAAACACAUGAAGCUAAUGUUUAUUUUUUAGAAUGCUCCUCAGAUGAUAGUAAGGAGAUUACAAUCCGAGAUGUUACAAAAUCUUUUAUAACAUGUCAAUUUGGCAGUUUCAACAAGUUUUGAUGAUAUGUAUGUUCAACUCACGAACUCCAUGUCUAUAAUAUGUCUUAUAGUGCUAUAUACGAGAUGGUACUAGAAGAAAAUGCUCCAGUUAACUUUGGAUCACCGUAUAAGAACAUAUUGAUUUGACAACUCUCCCA